rnacentral:rRNA from 1 species
GAUGAACGCUAGCGACAGGCCUAACACAUGCAAGUCGGAGGGGCAGCGCGGAAGUAGCUUGCUUAUUUCUGGCGGCGACCGGCGCACGGGUGCGUAACAGGUGUGCAAUCUGUCCAUAGUCGGGGAAUAGCCCAGCGAAAGUUGGAUUAAAGCUCCAUGUGUCACGAAGCCGCAUGACUUUGUGAUGAAACGUAAGAACUAUGGGUGAGCACGCUUCUGAUUAGGUAGUUGGUGGGGUAACGGCCCACCAAGCCGACGAUCAGUAGCCGGACUGAGAGGUUGAUCGGCCACAUUGGGACUGAGACACGGCCCAGACUCC